UGGGGAAUAUUGGACAAUGGGCGAAAGCCUGAUCCAGCCAUGCCGCGUGUGUGAAGAAGGUCUUCGGAUUGUAAAGCACUUUAAGUUGGGAGGAAGGGCAUUAACCUAAUACGUUAGUGUUUUGACGUUACCGACAGAAUAAGCACCGGCUAACUCUGUGCCAGCAGCCGCGGUAAUACAGAGGGUGCAAGCGUUAAUCGGAAUUACUGGGCGUAAAGCGCGCGUAGGUGGUCUGUGAAGUUGGAUGUGAAAUCCCCGGGCUCAACCUGGGAACUGCAUUCAAAACUGACUGACUAGAGUAUGGUAGAGGGUGGUGGAAUUUCCUGUGUAGCGGUGAAAUGCGUAGAUAUAGGAAGGAACACCAGUGGCGAAGGCGACCACCUGGACUAAUACUGACACUGAGGUGCGAAAGCGUGGGGAGCAAACA
rnacentral:rRNA from 1 species